UCUAUAUAUAUGAACCAUAUGCAUGUAUUGCUUUCUUGAUCUGAAGAAGAUAUAUUCUACCAUCGACUAUCUGUACUGCAGAUUCGCAACAAAAGAGACUAUCUGCAUUGCAUACAUGGCCGCAUACAUGAAGCCCCUCCAGGCACCAGUCCUUCUGCUUCUUCUCGUAUGCCUUGCUAUUCAUUCACAAUGUGGAAGGACGGAAGACAUGGACAGCCUGAGGAUAAGCCUGCCGCACGGAUUAUGUGCGUACAAACCUUGCAAAGAUGGCUACUGCAACUGUUGUUACCUGACGGAGGACUGCUUUCUCACAAUGGAUGACUG